GCCAUGAUGGAACCAAGACAUCCAAGGUGCUGAAGCACUUGAGGACCAUUACAGACCCCAACUUUAAAACAUUGAACGAUUUGGUGGCCACUGGUCCCCACUCAUUUUACGCUACCAUAUUCUACACCUUGGGUCCUACAAUAGACCGUCUGCUUCUUUACCCUGGGGGUGGGAUAUUUCGUUAUGACGAGGGCAAGACCACUGUCUUAGACACAGGACUGAUCUUAGCCAAUGGCAUCAACAUUUCUCCAGAUAAACGGUAUCUUUAUGUGGUAGAGGGAGGACGAAGGA